GGCCAUUGUUGUUUUCAACUGGAUGAAAGAUGUGUCGGAGGCAGCCACGUUCGGUCUGGAGGGUCAUGCAGAGGCCUGCUCAACAGAGUUCAACAGAGGAUCCCUUACGGAAAGAAAAUGGAUGCUGAACUACCUGAACUUGCUGGACCACCCCCUUCCAGCUGGGCAGCUUCUCUUCAGCCCUAACACCAGGACAGCUUCAUCCAGCUGGCCUGCCCUGACUGCCUGCAUGCAGGCCCUGCUUGCCCCUGCCUGCCAGCCCUCCAGAGACAGACAGUCACCCCACAGACACAGUAGCUCUGCAGACUGCUUUUUUGAAGACAUUGAUGAAAAAGGACAAACCAGUAUGUUUUACUUUAAUGAAAGUCAAAGUACCAUAACCAUAACACAGUACAUAUGGUGUACAAAGCUGCAGUCAGAUUUGGCGAAAUUGUUAGCUUGGAUGUUAUCUUGACAUUUACAUGGGGCCUUUAUGAUGAUGCGCACGCAGCUUCAAGGCAGAAAGACGCGUUCCAUUUCAGGAGACUCCGAGACCUUAGUGCGUCACUAGCAUCUCGUCAUAUCACGCAGUCGGAGCACAGCUAGAUCAUCAGUGUCAGCGCUCUUGGGUAACCAGCAUGCAGUGCGGCAAGGAAAAAAAAUGCCAAGACUUGUGUUUUUAUAUAGGGUGAAAUGGAAUGAGAAAUGUAAUACAAAAUGUCUAAAAGGGGUGUAUUUAUGUAAAUGUCCACAUUGCCUCAAUCUCUUUGUGUCAAUAAAUCAAAUAUCAUUUU